CCUACGGGUGGCAGCAGUGGGGAAUAUUGCGCAAUGGGGGAAACCCUGACGCAGCAAAGCCGCGUGAGUGAGGAAGUAUCUCGGUAUGUAAAGCUCUAUCAGCGGGGAAGAAAGAGGACGGUACUCGACUAAGAAGCCCCGGCUAACUACGUGCCAGCAGCCGCGGUAAUACGUAGGGGGCGGGCGUUAUCCGGAUUUACUGGGGGUAAAGGGAGCGUAGGCGGCGUCGCAAGUCUGAAGUGAAAGCCCGGGGCUCAACCGCGGAACCGCUUUGGAAACUGCGAGGCUGGAGUGCUGGAGAGGUAAGCGGAAUGCGUGGUGUAGCGGUGAAAUGCGUAGAUAUCAGGAGGAACACCGGUGGCGAAGGCGGCUUACUGGACAGUGACUGACGUUGAGGCUCGAAAGCGUGGGGAGCGAACAGGAUUAGAUACCCCUGUAGUC
rnacentral:rRNA from 1 species